UUUUCAUUUCACACCUCUCUCUCAUUCCGCAAAAACCGUUUCACGUUUUCUGCUCUCUAAUGGCUUGGCGCAGUGGAGGAUCACUCUCGCGGUCGCUCAUGUCCGCCGCCAGGGCGCCGACCCCCCGCUCCCCCGCACCGCUCCCUCGCCUCCGUCCGCCGCCUAUCUCCUCCCCCCGUUUCCAAUCUCGCCGCUUAUCCUUCGCUCCUUCUAGGAACUUGGGAGAACUGGGAUGCACGCAGUCGUUGUUGCCUUUGGUGGCCUCGGGGCACUUGACAUCACGUCUCAAUGCUAAUGUGCGGGCUUUCUGUGAGCUGUCUCAUGGUACCUUCUGCCGUACUUGUCCGGAUCGCUAAUAGUUUCUUUGGAGGAAUGGAAAAGAUGGGUGAUGCACGUGGACUUACUGUCAGCUAAAGGCGCAGAAUUGAUGCCACAAUUGUACUUGAAGAGCCUUUAGAUUAGCACAACCAAGUGCAACAUUGUUUGAAGGAAGUCGGUGAAUGGAGUACCCUUUGGGAUGUUAGGAUGUUAGGCUUUUUGGCAUGCAUAUUUAAUAAAGAUGUCAUGUUCUAUGCUACAUCUGAGAUCAUUGUUAGAUUUCCUAUGCUCUUGGGACAAUCAAAUUUUAUGGUUUUAUAGGCAACUAUAUUUGCGUAUAAGUUUAUUUGCCUGUUCCUCUGA